AAAAAAUCAAAAGUUUACUGUCUAAAUCAGACUUGGAGACACUUAUCCAUGUGUUUGUCUCCAGUAGGUUAGAUACUGUAAUGUCCUGCUCACUGGCCUCUCCAAACGAGCUGUGAGACGCUGCAGAACAUCCAGAACAUCCAGAACAUCCAGAACAUCCAGAACAUCCAGAACGCUGCAGCUCGGGUCCUGACUCGAAUUAUGAAGUACGAGCACAUGCGUCCUGUGCUCAGGUCUCUGCACUGGCUCCUGUGGCUCAGAGAAUAGACUUUAAAGCGGCUCUUUUGUGACAUGUUCGUGUCAUAUGAACCAUCUCACACUCUGAGGAGCUCAGGGACCGGCCUCCUGCUGCUGCCCAGAGUCACGACUAAACACGAGGAGUCAGAGUUUCAGGUUCACGCAGAUAAAACCUGGAACAGUCUGAACAUGUGAGACAGACUCGACUUUGACUCUGUUUAAAUCCAGACUCAAAACGGUUCUGUUUAACUGUGCACAUGACUGAAAGGUUCUUCUCUCUAAUUUAUGUCAUUAAUGUCUCUCUCUCUUCUUAAUUUUAUGAUGAUUAUUUAUGUUUUGAUUUGUUUUUAUUGUGAUUUUUGUGAGGUUCUCCCUGCUCCUCCUACCCCUCCUUUCCCUGCUCCCUCUCUCUGUAUCCACUUACCUUGUUUGGCAUUUCCUGGGCGGGGCCCAAUCAUGCACCUGCUGAGCUCCACUCCUGUUCUUCAUCAGUAAUUAUCUCCUACAAUAAAAGACCUGCUGACCUGCUCUCCAGUGCCAGAUUGUUCCGUCAUCCCAGCGCACUUCAUUUGGAGCCAGCCUCAUCCCGUACCCACCAGUUUCUGUAAGCCUCCGGUCAGCCUCCAUCUCCACAGACCUCCCAUCUACAGCCAACCCGGACCCGUCCUGCCUCCCCUGGAAUCUAUCCCCCCGCCAAGACUAUUUUUGUGUAAUAAAUACUUUUUUCCCUCUGCAUAUUUGGGUCCGACCAGUGAUUCCCUAACAGAUUUUAAUGUAUUUCUUAUUCUGUAAAGCACUUUGAAUUACUUUGUGUACGAAUUGUGCUCUACAAAUAAACUUGCCCUGCUGCUGUU